UACGCAGGUGGCAAGCGUUGUCCGGAAUUACUGGGUGUAAAGGGAGCGUAGGCGGGAAAGCAAGUUGAAUGUUUAAGGUACGGGCUCAACCUGUACAAGCGUUCAAAACUGUUUUUCUUGAGUGGAGUAGAGGUAAGCGGAAUUCCUAGUGUAGCGGUGAAAUGCGUAAAUAUUAGGAGGAACACCAGUGGCGAAGGCGGCUUACUGGGCUUUAACUGACGCUGAGGCUCGAAAGCGUGGGUAGCAAACAGG
rnacentral:rRNA from 1 species